ACUAGGCUGGGGCGGCAGCGCCGGAGCGAUUCCUUCACGAGCGGGCGCGGACCGGUAGGCUCAGGGAGGAGGAGUGGCUGGGCCCGGGGAGGGGGCGCCUGCGGGCUCCUCGCACCGAGCCUCAGCCAAUCAGCGCUCCGGAAGGACGGUUACGUAGAUCUCCCCGCCCCACGUGCCGCUUUUCUCCGAGAAGCCACGCCCAACCGCCGCCUGGCCGCCUUGCUCUGACGGCUUCCACGGGGCCCUAGAAUCCGGUAGUUUCCCGCGGCAAGUGGACGAGGGGUGGGGCCGUGAGGCGGUGGCGAGAAUACCUUCACUGUUCUGAAGGCUGAAAGAUUGCAGAUUGGGCAGCUGCAUCUGACGAAGCCCUGGUGCUGCUUCAGCUCAUGGCCGAAAGCAGAAGGGAUUGCAUGGCCAGAGAGGAGACUAAGAGAAAGCCAAACUUACUGUAACAACUUGCGCUCAAGGCUGUUUGUUGUUCUUUGGAAAGAAGGGCCAUUGAUUUUGGUAUCCAACACCCAACAGCUCCAAGUACAGUAACGUUUUCCCGGCCCAUUUGGCCCAGCCAGGAUACUUGACCAGAGACCACAGGAUAGAAGCUGCUUCUUGUUUCAAGUCCUGUCAGAGUCCAGAAUACUGCCUGGCACACAGCAGGCAGUCUAUGAAACAACUUGAGUAAAACAAGCAACGUGGAAGAAAGGAGCUAUGCAAAAGAAGAUAUUUGGAUACCAGGCACCAGGGGCAGAAAUAUUCAGAGGGAGGACCAUGUAAAGAGGCACAAGACCACAGCCACCUGGAAGCCAAGGAGAAAAGAAACCUGCCUUUGCUCUUGGAUGCCUUGACCUUGGACAUCUAUCCCCCAGUAUUAUGAGAAAGUAAGUUUCUGUUGUUCAAGUCUGUGCUGUUUUGUUUUGACAGCCCUAGUAAAUCAAUAUAGAGUCUUUCUCGUGCUGGUUCUCUGUGUCAAUGGCCUGUGCACCAAUUGCCCUUGAAAAUGAUUUCCCCGGGCUGGGCAUUUAGCUCAGUGGUUUCACCGCCUGCUACGUAAGCCCAAGGACCCAAGUUCGAUCCCCGGCACCAGAAAAACAAAACAAAACAAAUGAAAACCAUUUCCCCUUCUGUGUGUGUGUGUGUGUGUGUGUGUGUGUGUGUGUACACAUGUUUCCCUCCUUGACAAAUAGCUAUCCAGCCAGCGCUCCUGUGUGCUGGAAUUGCCCUCAGGCCACAUUUUCAGUAAAGCUUUAGGCCAGUAAUUUACUAAAAAAUUUGCUUCUUUGCUUAAUUAUGAGGUUUUCAGGUUGUGGACCAAUUCAUUUGCUUCUCCACAUCCUCAGUGCCCAUUGCAGUGCUCAGUGAGAAUAUAUUAAAUAAGCAGAUAAAUAGAGGCAGCAUAGUGAUCAUUGUCUGUUCUUUCUUUGUGCUCAGUGGCUCUCAGAGGCAAAGUACAGUCUGCUCCAAGAACUUCCUGGGCCAUGACCAUAACUUCCUGUAUAAUAUUGGUUUUGAUGCCAUUUGUGUUGGUUAAGUUUGAUUGUGUCAAUUUGAGUGGCUUAGGAGCCACCCAAGGGAUUGGUGAAGGACAUUUCUGGGUGAGUCUAGGUGUGUCAUUGAGGUAUAUCCUUAAAUACUGUAUCUAAUCCCUUGCCCCUUUCUCUCUGGCACUGUUCCUCUUCUCUGCAUCUCUGCUGUCAUGAUUCUGCUUCUCUGCUAUCAUGACACUGCUUCUCUCCUACCGUGAACUAAGCAUCUUUGCUCUGCUGUGUCCUUCUGCCAUGACAGUCAUGUCUUAAAACCAACCAGCCCUGGACUGAAAAACCUCUGAAAGCAUGAGCCAAAUUGAAGCUUUCUUCCUUUAAGUUGUAAAUGUUGGAUAUUGUGUUUCAUCAACAGAAAAACUGAUUAAUACAGAAAACUUGCACCAGGAGUGGAGUUUUUGCUGUGACCACCUGAUCAUAUGAUUUAGAAGCUUUUGAAGUGGAUUUGUGGAAGAAAUUUGGAAAGUUUUGGAGAUGUGGGCUACAGAAACCCUGAAAUACAGUAAGCAGAACCUUAUGGGUAAUCUUAGUGAGAGUUCAGAAGACCAGAAUGGUAAUAAAACUGCAGACAGUAAAGUUCAGGCUUGUGACAUUUUAGUUGGGAAUAAGGAUUCAUUAGUCCAUAUGAGUUGGACUAGAGGACAUGUAUGUUACAUUCUGGCAGAAAUAUUUCUCUAUAUUUUGCACAGGUCCUGAGACUUUUCAGGAGACUGAGAUUAAGGGUGGUGGACUAAUUAAUGUGGCUGAGGAAAUUUCCAAGCAGCCUAAUGUUCAGGCUGUGGCAUGAGUACUGCUGGCUGCAUUUAGCCAGAUUUAUAGUGAGACUUGGGAGGCAAAAAUACAGCAAAAAAAUUGAAAACCUUAAAUUUUUGCCCAAAAGAAACUAUGUAUAAAGUUGAAGCAAAUGGAGAUAUGGCUGCCAUGAAAGGAGAUUAGCACCAUUUUUAAAAAGCCAACUACUUUGUACAGGGACAAGAAGAAAGAUGCCUUGAUGGCAACUCAGGAGUCAGCCCCCUUACUGUUGGCUCAAAGAUGAAAACGUGUAAACCUUUCAUUUAAGAAGAGAGUCCUUGAGAUCCUCAGGAAUUGAUUCCCCAGAACUUAUUUCACUGUGCUUAGACAUCUGGGUACUCAAAUACCACUUUAGCUAUGGUCCAAUGAGGCCUAGCUAUUGCUCCCAUUGAGAGCAGACCUUGGCACUGUUAAUGUGAUGAGGAUUUUUUGAGAAUGAAGAAUGCAAGAGUUGUGGGAUCAGGGAGGCUUCCAUCCACAUUUCAAAAGAAAUCCUGGGAGACCAGGCAAGGAGCCCCUAAGAGUGCAGUGCAUGAAACUGUGGAAAUGAAGUCAAUGGGUUGCUGUGAAAUCCACAGGAAGUUGGAGAUUCAUAGAACAUAGAAUGUCUACCAAGGAAAGUUUCAGACCUUCAGCAGAGCCAGCCCAAGAGAAAAGCCAUCCGGGCUGCAACUUGCAAGGCUAUAGAGUUGGAGUUGCCCAAUCCUUUGGAACUCACAUGUGCCACAGAUUCCACAUAUGUAGCAACAGGAUUUAAUUUUUGCUCUGCUGGGUUCUGGUCAUGCUUUGGUCUGACUCUUUUUUCCAUUUUUUAAAAACUUUAAUUUUAUUGGUACAUUUUAGGUGUGCAAUAUAAUGACAUUCAUCAUUGGAAAUUUGCACCUUUACAUAAUCUCUUAUGGUUCUUAUUUUUCCCCUACCC